CCGGGCGGGGCCGCGCCACGGAGCCCACAGCCCGGCGCUCCCGGCCCCGCCGCUGCCGCACCGCGCCCCGCAGGAGAAGCCGAACCGGGCCCGGCGGCCGAAGCGGCCCGCGAGGCGCGGGAGGCAUGAAGUUGGGCGCGCACUGGCCUCGGAGCGGGGGGGAGCCGGGAGCCGCCCGCAUCUAGAGCCCGCGAGGUGCGUGCGCCAUGGAGCUCGGGGGCCCCGGGGCGCCGCGGCUGCUGCCGCCGCUGCUGCUGCUUCUGGGGACCGGCCUCCUGCGCGCCAGCAGCCAUGUGGAGACCCGGGCCCACGCCGAGGAGCGGCUCCUGAAGAAACUCUUCUCCGGUUACAACAAGUGGUCCCGACCCGUGGCCAACAUCUCAGACGUGGUCCUCGUCCGCUUCGGCCUGUCCAUUGCUCAGCUCAUUGACGUGGACGAGAAGAACCAGAUGAUGACCACGAACGUAUGGGUGAAGCAGGAGUGGCAUGAUUACAAGCUGCGCUGGGACCCAGCUGACUACGAGAAUGUCACCUCCAUCCGCAUCCCCUCCGAGCUCAUCUGGCGGCCAGACAUCGUCCUCUACAACAAUGCCGACGGGGACUUUGCGGUCACCCACCUGACCAAGGCCCACCUGUUCCAUGACGGGCGGGUGCAGUGGACUCCGCCGGCCAUUUAUAAGAGCUCCUGCAGCAUCGACGUCACCUUCUUCCCCUUCGACCAGCAGAACUGCACCAUGAAAUUCGGCUCCUGGACCUACGACAAGGCCAAGAUCGACCUGGUGAACAUGCACAGCCGCGUGGACCAGCUGGACUUCUGGGAGAGCGGCGAGUGGGUCAUCGUGGAUGCCGUGGGCACCUACAACACCAGGAAGUACGAGUGCUGCGCCGAGAUCUACCCGGACAUCACCUACGCCUUCGUCAUCCGGCGGCUGCCGCUAUUCUACACCAUCAACCUCAUCAUCCCCUGCCUGCUCAUCUCCUGCCUCACCGUGCUGGUCUUCUACCUGCCCUCCGAGUGCGGCGAGAAGAUCACGCUGUGCAUCUCCGUGCUGCUGUCGCUCACCGUCUUCCUGCUGCUCAUCACCGAGAUCAUCCCGUCCACCUCGCUGGUCAUCCCGCUCAUCGGCGAGUACCUGCUGUUCACCAUGAUCUUCGUCACCCUGUCCAUCGUCAUCACGGUCUUCGUGCUCAAUGUGCACCACCGCUCGCCACGCACCCACACCAUGCCCACCUGGGUACGCAGGGUCUUCCUGGACAUCGUGCCGCGCCUGCUGCUCAUGAAGCGGCCGUCCGUGGUUAAGGACAAUUGCCGGCGGCUCAUCGAGUCCAUGCACAAGAUGGCCAGUGCCCCACGCUUCUGGCCCGAGCCAGAGGGGGAGCCCCCCGCCACGAGCGGCGCCCAGAACCGGCACCCGCCCUCACCGUCCUUCUGCGUCCCCCUGGAUGUGCCGGCUGAGCCUGGACCUGCCUGCAUGUCACCCUCCGACCAGCUCCCUGCUCUGCAGCCCCCGGAAGCUGAGAAAGCCAGCCCCCACCCCUCGCCUGGACCCUGCCGCCCGCCCCACAGCACCCAGGCACCAGGGCUGGCCAAAGCCAGGUCCCUCAGCGUCCAGCACAUGUCCAGCCCUGGCGACGCGGUGGAAGGCGGCGUCCGGUGCCGGUCUCGGAGCAUCCAGUACUGUGUUCCCCGAGACGAUGCCGCCCCCGAGGCAGAUGGCCAGGCUGCCGGCGCCCUGGCCUCUCGCAAGACCCACUCGGCUGAGCUCCCACCCCCAGAGCAGCCCUCUCCAUGCAAAUGCACGUGCAAGAAGGAGCCCUCUUCGGUGUCCCCAAGCGCCACGGUCAAGGCCCGCAGCACCAAAGCACCGCCCCGGCACCUGCCCCUGUCGCCGGCCCUGACCCGGGCGGUGGAGGGUGUCCAGUACAUUGCAGACCACCUGAAGGCCGAAGACACAGACUUCUCGGUAAGUCCUGCCCAUGGCGGUGUCGAGCGCCUCUGGCCCAGACGGAGCCGGCGGACGCCCUCCGUUUCUGGUGCGUAAUCCAGGAACCAGGCCCAGGCCCCAGGCUGCUUUGCUUUGGGGUGCAGGGCGUGGCCCCUGCUGCAGCAGCCUCUUCCCAAGCCUGCUACGUGGCCGCAGGUCCCAGGCUGAGCGGGGCAGGGGGCCCCGAGUGGCUGGCACAGGGUGGAUCCCGGUGCCGUCUCCGGCUUUGGGACACAGUGGGCUCCGGUGGACGGCACGGUGAGGGGCCACAGGCAGCGUCCUUCCGGCACAGCACAGGGGCGCUCUGGGAACUCCUGCCCAGCAAUGGCCAAGUCCCCAGAACGCAACGAGGCACUGUCAAGGCCCUUUUCCCAGAGCGCGCCUGUGCCUGCCCCGUAGGCCUCCCCGGGGCCCACUCUGUAUCUGAGGCCUGGAUGUAGGGGGCUCAGAGAAGAUGGGAUGGGAUGGGCUGGUGGCAGGAGGAAGGAUCCGGGACAGGGACACAGCCCCAAGACCAUCAGCCCCACACGGCCAAGCUGGGGACGGGUGGGAGAGCCAUGGGCUGGGGGCAGAACACUGGUCCCAUGGCUAAGGCCCCCCGGGGCCCUGGGCCAGCCCACCUACCCUCACCCUCAAGCGCCAGGCACUGGCCGCACAGAGGCCCCAGGAGCCGCAGUCUCUGCUAAGUGGCAGCCAUGUCCGUGUUACCCGUGGCUGUGCAGUCUCCUACCCAUUCCAUGCAGGAGAGGCUGGGGCUGAGCCAGCUUUGCCUGACCCCAGCACCAGGUAGCUUCCCUGUUUCCUUCUGCAGACAUUUACUGCCUGUCACACGGUGGGAGGCACAGGGGCCAGGGUCUACAAACAGGAUAAUGGGGCGGGACGGGUGGGGCACACAGGUGGCCGGGGGUCUCAGCCUCGGCCAGGCAGCCCAUGACGUCCACAGUGGCAACUCGGCAUCUGUCCUGCCCAUCCACCUGCUGUCGCUGGCACCUCCCGGCUCUUGUCCCGGUGCCAGGGCCUGGCACCCUCAGUGUGCCGCCUCCAUCUGAAGGGGCCACCUCUGCCAGGACCCCAGAGCGCCAUCCUCGAUGGUUUAUUCGGACGCAUCUGGUGCCUGCCCCCACUAGCUGAGCGAGCCCCAAAGCGAGGGGCCGUGCUCCAUACCCCUGAGAAGUGAGGGAGUUGCUAGCCCCACAUGCCACCCCACUGAAUCCCAAGAAGCUGCAAAGCCUCCUGCAGGUUCCAGAACGUUCUGGGGUCAUAAGAGCAGCCUGGAGAAGCGUCGGGACCCUGCUUUGCUGCCAGCUCUUGAAGCGAGAGGCAGCUGUGCCCGGGCCGUGCCACCGUGGGGUCAGAUGCUUUUAGGUGUUUGAUCAAAGCGGCCCUGAAACUGGCAGUGGGUCUGAGCUCGGCGGUCAGUGUGGCCUGGGCUCCCUCCAGCAGCCUUCUCGGGCCGAUUGCUGCCGCUGCCUGACCUGGUUCUGGGCUUGUGGGGAGCAGAGCUGACUUCACAGCAGCUGCCUCGGGGACAGAGGGAAGGCUUUGGUCUGCGGCUGUGUUUCAUCUUCAGGGUGGAUGCAACGCGGCACACAGAACCCGGGGAACUAAAGGCACAUGGGAAAGGGCGAGAGGGCGGCCGCGUCCCUGCCCCCAGAGCCGAGGCCUGGGCAGGACUUUUAUUUAUAAGUGACCCCGUUUGCCUUCAGGCUUCCUGUAAAUAAAUAUGGCCAUUUUGGUUCAGUUUAACACCAUCAGGACACCCGGGAUUGCUAUAAAAAAUCAGAGCAGGAGGCGGCACUGUCCCCACAGUGGGCCCAGGCCCUCGCGGCACAUCCCUCCCAUCCCUCAUCAUCCACAGGCCUGGGACCCAGAACACCCUCAUGGCCUGGUCCAGAGGCAGCUCAUCAGCUUGGGGGUUGCCUCAGGUCCUUCUACGCAGCAGAGCCAGAGACGGGACGGGGGAGCUGGGGACACGGGAAGGGGGAGUCAGGGACGCAGGACGGGGGAGCCAGAGACACACAGGAAGGAGAGCCAGAGACAUGGGACGGGGUAGCCAGGGAUGCAGGGGAGUCAGGGACGCAGGACAGGGGAGCCAGAGAUGUGGGACGGGGGAGCUGGGGCGAGGGCAGUGGCCAGCGGCAUGAGUGCCUUGGGCUGCACACAGCGGCUGUCUGGAGAGUGGCUUCCCGACUCCAGGCCUGACCAGGCCACUGCCUAUGCCCUCCCUAGGCCUCUGCUCCUGGGGGUCACCCAGGGUGGGGUCCGCCCUGCAUCAGCCCCAGGAGUGUGGGGUUAGAAGCCAGACCUGGAGCCGGAACCCGCUGUCCCCAUUCAGAUAUGGAACCGCAGCCGCCCCUGAAGGCUUUGCGCCUCAGUGUGAAAACGAGACAGGCCAGGGGAGGCUCGAGUGAGAGACUGCAGAUGGUGGCGGCUCUGCGGGCUCCGUGCGUGCUGCUCUCGUCCGCCCUCUGUGCCCCCACCGGGCCACAUUUGCCCAUCUGCAAAACGGGGAGGGGGAUGGGCCCCUCCCAGCGCUGGUGAGCUGAGAGCAGACCGCUCACGGGGUGCCUGAGCCCCCCUCCCCCGUGCCCCCUUCCUGGAGCACAGGCCACCUGCUGAGAGGUGGGGGCACACAGGGCAUAGUGCAGAGCUUGUCUCCACAAGGGGAUCUGCCCAGCCGGAAUUCCCAGGGUUCCAAGGUCCUCCUGCCCCGCGCCGUGGUGAUGCUGCCCCCCGCAGAGCACUGGCUGUCCCGUGCACCCCGAUUCCUCCCCUUGGUGCAGGUGAAGGAGGACUGGAAGUACGUGGCCAUGGUCAUCGACCGCAUCUUCCUCUGGAUGUUCAUCAUCGUCUGCCUGCUGGGGACUGUGGGC